rnacentral:tRNA from 1 species
GCUCUUGUAGUUCAAUGGAUAGAACAAUGCUCUCCUAAAGCGUAGAUUUGGGUUCGAUUCCCAACAGGAGUACCA